rnacentral:rRNA from 1 species
GACGAACCGUGCGAACGUUGUUCGGAAUCACUGGGCUUAAAGGGCGCGUAGGCGGACUGCCAAGUCCGGGGUGAAAUCUUUCGGCUUAACCGGAAAAUAGCCUCGGAGACUGGCGGUCUGGAGGGGGGUAGGGGCAGCUGGAACUUCCGGUGGAGCGGUGAAAUGCGUAGAUAUCGGAAGGAACGCCGGUGGCGAAAGCGGCAUGCUGGGUCCCUUCUGACGCUGAGGCGCGAAAGCCAGGGGAGCAAACGGG